GUGGUUAUGCGGGUAAGUCUUGCAUGACUCGGCGCAUGCUGUAGUAGUCUAUUGCCGAGUGCUUGCUUGUCGGGUGCCAUGGGCACUGCUUUUUAAGUAGCUCGGUGAAGGUUGGCCCUUCAUCGUUUUUACGAGGUCCCCUUUUUCCCGGAGUUGGUCAUGGCGGCGAUAGUGUUGUCGGGCUUCCUUUUGCGGUUGUGAUUACUCGAAUAGUUGUUUCGAG
rnacentral:lncRNA from 1 species